UGGGGAAUUUUGGACAAUGGGCGCAAGCCUGAUCCAGCCAUGCCGCGUGCGGGAAGAAGGCCUUCGGGUUGUAAACCGCUUUUGUCAGGGAAGAAAUCUUCUGAGUUAAUACCUCGGGAGGAUGACGGUACCUGAAGAAUAAGCACCGGCUAACUACGUGCCAGCAGCCGCGGUAAUACGUAGGGUGCAAGCGUUAAUCGGAAUUACUGGGCGUAAAGCGUGCGCAGGCGGUUUUGUAAGACAGAGGUGAAAUCCCCGGGCUCAACCUGGGAACUGCCUUUGUGACUGCAAGGCUUGAGUGCGGCAGAGGGGGGAUGGAAUUCCGCGUGUAGCAGUGAAAUGCGUAGAUAUGCGGAGGAACACCGAUGGCGAAGGCAAUCCCCUGGGCCUGCACUGACGCUCAUGCACGAAAGCGUGGGGAGCAAACAGGAUUAGAUACCCUGGUAGUCCACGCCCUAAACGAUGUCAACUGGUUGUUGGGAAGGUUCCUUCUCAGUAACGUAGCUAACGCGUGAAAGUUGACCGCCUGGGGAGUACGGCCGCAAGGUUGAAACUUAAAUGAA
rnacentral:rRNA from 1 species